rnacentral:rRNA from 1 species
UACGGGGGGGGCAAGCGUUGUUCGGAAUUACUGGGCGUAAAGGGCUCGUAGGCGGCCAACUAAGUCGGAUGUGAAAUCCCCAGGCUCAACCUGGGAACUGCAUCCGAUACUGGAUGGCUUGAAUCCGGGAGAGGGAUGCAGAAUUCCAGGUGUAGCGGUGAAAUGCGUAGAUAUCAGGAGGAACACCUGCGGUGUAGACGGCUUACUGGACGGUAACUGACGCUGAGGCACGAAAGCGUGGGUAGCAAACAGG